rnacentral:rRNA from 1 species
AUUGAACGCUGGCGGCAGGCCUAACACAUGCAAGUCGAACGAGUGGCGGACGGGUGAGUAAUGUCUGGGAAACUGCCUGAUGGAGGGGGAUAACUACUGGAAACGGUAGCUAAUACCGCAUCCCUUCGGAUGUGCCCAGAUGGGAUUAGCUAGUAGGUGGGGUAAAGGCUAACCUAGGCGACGAUCCCUAGCUGGUCUGAGAGGAUGACCAGCCACACUGGAACUGAGACACGGUCCAGACUCCUACGGGAGUAGGCAGGGGGGAAUAUUGCAAAAUGGGCGAAAGCCUGAUGCAGCCAUGCCGCGUGUAGGAAGAAGGCCUUCGGGUUGUAAAGUACUUUCAGCGGGGAGGCGUUACCCGCAGAAGAAGCACCGGCUAACUCCGUGCCAGCAGCCGCGGUAAUUC